rfam:Dipodomys ordii contig_30003, whole genome shotgun sequence.
GGUGGCUUAGUGGUAGAGUGCUUGCCUAGCAUGCAUGAAGCCCUGGGUUCAAUUCCUCAGCACCA